GUGAACGCUGGCGGUAGGCCUAACACAUGCAAGUCGCACGGCAGCACAGUAAGAGCUUGCUCUUACGGGUGGCGAGUGGCGGACGGGUGAGGAAUACAUCGGAAUCUACUUUUUCGUGGGGGAUAACGUAGGGAAACUUACGCUAAUACCGCAUACGACCUACGGGUGAAAGCAGGGGAUCUUAGGACCUUGCGCGAUUGAAUGAGCCGAUGUCGGAUUAGCUAGUUGGCGGGGUAAAGGCCCACCAAGGCGACGAUCCGUAGCUGGUCUGAGAGGAUGAUCAGCCACACUGGAACUGAGACACGGUCCAGACUCCUACGGGAGGCAGCAGUGGGGAAUAUUGGACAAUGGGCGCAAGCCUGAUCCAGCCAUACCGCGUGGGUGAAGAAGGCCUUCGGGUUGUAAAGCCCUUUUGUUGGGAAAGAAAAGCAGCAGGUUAAUACCCCGCUGUUCUGACGGUACCCAAAGAAUAAGCACCGGCUAACUUCGUG
rnacentral:rRNA from 1 species